AUGUGUGGAAUCUCAGAACUGAUCUUGGAAGAAGAAGUGGGGACUCUUUUUAGUGAAUCUCAGAGCAAAUUAUUAGAGAUAGAAAUAUGGAUAGAUGUCCCAGGCUGCAAGAGGGACUCCAUGUCCCACCUUAGGCAGAUAUGCAAAUCAAGACACAAUUUCCCCUUUAAAGAAGCCCAACUUACUUUUAAGGCAACACCCACCAACAUAAACCUUGGGCUAUUUCCAGAAUCAUCUCCUAUCAAUUUCAUCUGUUCAUUACAGGGAGCAAAAAUGUGGCUAAACCUUCUGUCCAUACUUGUAGUCCUUAAAGGAGUCCAGUCUCAAGUCCAGUUCGUGGAGUCUGGAGGGGAUGUGAGAAGACCUGGGGAGUCCCUCCGUCUCUCCUGUCAAGCAUCUGGAUUCACCUUCAGCAGCUACUGGAUGGACUGGGUGAGACAGGCACCAGGGAAAGGACUGGAAUGGGUUUCAAGGAUACAUCCAGGUUUAUCUCCAAUUUACUACUCAGACAAAGUCAAGGGACGUUUCACCAUCUCCAGGGACAAUGCCAAAAGUCAGCUGUAUCUGCAAAUGAACAACCUCAAAACCGAAGACACAGGAGUUUAUUACUGUGCAAGAGGCACAGUGAGAGGAAGUGAA